CACAAUUUACGAGCACAGCACAACAAUACAUUAUAUGUUCAAUACUUUAGUACACUUUAAUUUUUUGAUGUUACCAUUAAUAUAAUAAGAGUAGAAUUAAAAGAAAUGCAAUUUCUAUUACAGUGCCUUGUUUGCCCGAUCCUUCCACUAGUAUCUACAGUACUACUGGCUGAAUGUAUUGUUGUGAUUUGGGGCGUUUUAUCAGUAGAGAUAGUUCUCUACAUAGUGAUCGCUUUUGGGAUGGAUCUUUUUCUUAUUCUGUUAUUUAUUAAGGGGCCCCAGAUUUUCAGUGGUCAUCCAAGCAAAUUCCUAUGAAACUUGGAGCCCGAUCUUCAUUCAACAAAACCUUACAGAGGCCUUCACCAGAAAUAGGUUGCACAUAAAACAUCUCCAACACCCUGUACCCUGGUGUAUGGCUCCCCAGUUCCACCCUGGGUAUGGACCCACAUACCCACCUCCCCUACAUUCCUGAUCUACCAGCCCCAGAUUCCACCAGCUGCUCCCAGGAUGUUGUAGUCAAAUUACAACCACACAGCAACAUGCAGAGUAAAGCCUUAUACUUUAAUAAAAUUUUACUGUUUGUA